rnacentral:piRNA from 1 species
CUGGUGAGCAUGGCUACUUCUUAGGAAGGA